CCAAUUUUGAGGGUUAUCAGGGGAAAGGCAGGUUUCGCUGCCGGAUUUACGGAGCGGGUUAAACACAUGGAGCAUCUUGCUGGGAGAGUGUCACUCCUG